rnacentral:piRNA from 1 species
ACCUUUAGGAGGAGGGAUGUAGAAAUU